rnacentral:rRNA from 1 species
CAUACCCACUGAACCUGCGGAAGGAUCAUU